CAGAGUGUCAAAAACUGCGUCGCUUAUAAAUUUGCAGCAGUUCAAGAGGAUCCAGAAAAUACACUCUCUGGAAUGAUUGACAAGUGUUUCUAAAGAGCUUCAAUGGAUGACUUAACAGUUGAUGAGGACCAGUAUCUACAUAUUACCUAUAAUAUAAUAAUCUGAAUCUGUCGUGGUUUCCUUCUUUUUGGGAUAUGUUUAACUCUCAAAUACGUUUAUCUGGAAAAUAAAACUAUCAUAAAGCAUCAAAA